rnacentral:rRNA from 1 species
UUUAUCGAAUUCCUUCCUAUUGUAAACCUAUCAACCGCUCGUCAGCAAGCUGACGAUCAAUUGAAGAUCGACAGAGAAAAGAUCCGUAGCCAAAGGCAUUCGCUGCAAUCCUCAGUCCUCGUCGCGCCAUCUAAAGUAGGCUAUAACACUCCCGAAGGAGCCACAUCCCUCCAGCCUUUUUAUGACGUUCGAAAUUGAUGUUAACCAGCGGACACGAAAGUGCUCCCCCUCAUCGUGAGACACAUGCUGUGGCGGUUUUGAGGCUCGCCACAACAUGGGUCUCCCGACG